rnacentral:rRNA from 1 species
GACGAACGCUGGCGGCGUGCCUAAUACAUGCAAGUCGAACGCAGUGGGGACGGGUGAGUAACACGUGGGUAACCUCCCAUCAGAGGGGAUAACACUUGGAAACAGGUGCUAAACCGAUACUGAUGGAUGAACCCGCGGUGGAUUAGCUAGUUGGUGAGGUAACGGCUCACCAAGGCCCCGAUGCAUAGCCGACCUGCGAGGGUGAUCGGCCACACUGUGACUGAGACACGGCCCAGACUCCUACGGGAGGCAGCAGUAGGGAAUUGUCGGAAAUGGACGAAAGUCUGACAGAGCAACGCCGCGUGAGUGAAUAGGGUUUUCGGAUCGUAAAACUCUGUUGUUAGUGAAGCGGUAGCUAAACAGAAAGCCACGGCUAACUACGUGCCAGCAGCCGCGGUAAUUC